GAUGAAGAACGUAGCGAAAUGCGAUACGUAAUGUGAAUUGCAGAAUUCAGUGAAUCAUCGAGUCUUUGAACGCACAUUGCGCCCCCUGGUAUUCCGGGGGGCAUGCCUGUCCAGCGUCAUUGCUGCCCUCAAGCACGGCUUGUGUGUUGGGCCUCCGUCCUCCUCCCGGGGGACGGGCCCGAAAGGCAGCGGCGGCACCGCGUCCGGUCCUCGAGCGUAUGGGGCUUCGUCACCCGCUCUUGUAGGCCCGGCCGGCGCUUGCCGACACAUCAAUCUUUUUUCCAGGUUGACCUCGGAUCAGGUAGGGAUACCCGCUGAACUUAAGCAUAUCAAUAAGCGGAGGA
rnacentral:misc_RNA from 1 species